AAUGCGGCAGAAGGCAGCUGGGAAUGAGGACGGGGCUCCGGUCCCAGCGUCGCCAUGUUCGCCCCGUCGGGAAAAAAAAGCUCGUCGAAAGGCUCUGCGAUCGGUAUAUCCCAAAGAAAAUAUGCUUGUCUCAACAGCGUGAAAGUCAAAUGGGUUCAAUGUUGUUUUGGACGUACAUAAGAAUGGGAUUCAGGCCUGUUUGAGCCUGAUGAAGAGUACCCCGGAGCAGCCCUGUCAUAUCCCACAAGAGAAAGAGACACAAAGAGACAGAGAAACAGUCUAUCUCUCCAACUGUGAAAUCUAACUAUUCAAGUCCACAUAGACUGGCAGAGUUCAGUUGCUCAAAAAAAGAGAGAAACAUUGAUCACUGUGGUUCACUCAAGGGCUCUUCAGGACAGACACAGUUCCCCACAGAUAAUCAUGG